rnacentral:rRNA from 1 species
CAGCCGCCGCGGUAAUACGAAGGUCCCAAGCGUUGUUCGGAAUCACUGGGCGUAAAGGGAGCGUAGGCGGCGUGGUAAGUCAGAUGUGAAAUCCCGGGGCUCAACCCCGGAACUGCAUCCGAUACUGCCAUGCUUGAGGGUUGGAGAGGUAGCUGGAAUUCUCGGUGUAGCAGUGAAAUGCGUGGAUAUCGAGAGGAACACUCGUGGCGAAGGCGAGCUACUGGACAACAUCUGACGCUGAGGCUCGAAGGCCAGGGGAGCGAAAGGGAUUAGAUACCCCCGUAGUCCCUGUCUCUUAUAC